rnacentral:rRNA from 1 species
GACGAACGCUGGCGGCGUGCUUAACACAUGCAAGUCGAACGGAAAGGCCCUGCUUUUGUGGGGUGCUCGAGUGGCGAAGGGGUGAGUAACACGUGAGUAACCUGCCCUUGACUUUGGGAUAACUUCAGGAAACUGGGGCUAAUACCGGAUAGGAGCUCCUGCUGCAUGGUGGGGGUUGGAAAGUUUCGGCGGUUGGGGAUGGACUCGCGGCUUAUCAGCUUGUUGGUGGGGUAGUGGCUUACCAAGGCUUUGACGGGUAGCCGGCCUGAGAGGGUGACCGGCCAAAUUGGGAUGGGGAUACGGCCCAGACUCCUACGGGAGGCAGCAGUGGGGAAUAUUGCACAAUGGGCGGAAGCCGGAUGCAGCAACGCCGCGUGCGGGAUGACGGCCUUCGGGUUGUAAACCGCUUUCGCCUGUGACGAAGCGUGAGUGACGGUAAUGGGUAAAGAAGCACCGGCUAACUACGUG